UACGUAGGAGGCAAGCGUUAUCCGGAUUUAUUGGGUUUAAAGGGUGCGUAGGCGGCGAGUUAAGUCAGCGGUAAAAGCCCGGGGCUCAACCCCGGCGAGCCGUUGAAACUGCCGUGCUAGAGAGGAAGAGAAGUAGGCGGAAUGCGCAGUGUAGCGGUGAAAUGCUUAGAUAUUGCGCAGAACCCCGAUUGCGAAGGCAGCCUUCCGGCGCCCUACUGACGCUGAGGCACGAAAGUGCGGGGAUCGAACAGG
rnacentral:rRNA from 1 species